rnacentral:rRNA from 1 species
CUCAGAGCGAACGCUGGCGGCAGGCUUAACACAUGCAAGUCGAACGGGCUUCUUCGGAAGUCAGUGGCAGACGGGUGAGUAACACGUGGGAACGUGCCCUUCGGUUCGGAAUAACUCAGGGAAACUUGAGCUAAUACCGGAUACGCCCUUUUGGGGAAAGGUUGACUGCCGAAGGAUCGGCCCGCGUCUGAUUAGCUUGUUGGUGGGGUAACGGCCUACCAAGGCGACGAUCAGUAGCUGGUCUGAGAGGAUGAUCAGCCACACUGGGACUGAGACACGGCCCAGACUCCUACGGGAGGCAGCAGUGGGGAAUAUUGGACAAUGGGCGCAAGCCUGAUCCAGCCAUGCCGCGUGAGUGAUGAAGGCCUUAGGGUUGUAAAGCUCUUUUGUCCGGGACGAUAAUGACGGUACCGGAAGAAUAAGCCCCGGCUAACUUCGUGCCAGCAGCCGCGGUAAUACGAAGGGGGCUAGCGUUGCUCGGAAUCACUGGGCGUAAAGGGCGCGUAGGCGGCCGAUUAAGUCGGGGGUGAAAGCCUGUGGCUCAACCACAGAAUUGCCUUCGAUACUGGUUGGCUUGAGACCGGAAGAGGACAGCGGAACUGCGAGUGUAGAGGUGAAAUUCGUAGAUAUUCGCAAGAACACCAGUGGCGAAGGCGGCUGUCUGGUCCGGUUCUGACGCUGAGGCGCGAAAGCGUGGGGAGCAAACAGGAUUA